UCCGCCAGAGAACUACAAGUGAAAAACUUCAAACUCAAAGGACUUGGCGGUGUCCCAUACCGACCUAGAGGAGCCUGUCCUAUUAUCGAUACCCCCGGUCCAACUUAACCUCUACUAGCACCUUUCAGCCUAUAUACCGCCGUCGACAGUCUACCCCAUGAGGGCCUAACAGUAGACAUAAUAGCCAAUCCGCUAAUACGUCAGGUCAAGGUGUAGCACAUGUGAAGGAAGAGAUUGGCUACAUUUUUUACCUAAAAAAAUACGAAAUGCAACAUGAAACACUGCACGAAGGCGAAUUUAGUAGUAAGACUGAACAAGAGAGUUCAUCUUAACAACGCUCUGGGACGCGCACACACCGCCCGUCUCUCU
rnacentral:rRNA from 1 species